UGAAAUACCCCACCCACUGCUACUCCACUACUCUGAGUAGCCUCUGAGUGAAUGAUGUUCACCUGGUAGGGUCAGGAAACGGAGCACAACCUAACAAAGAACUAUUCCAGAGGACUUGCCGAGAGUUGUGUUGUUCCUAUCCUUUCUCUUCUGCUUGGGCUUGAAGUUGUGCCUGACCAGUUGCUGCCUCCCACUGCUGCUUUUGAAGAGCUUCCAGGUUAUAGCUAAAGCUCAGCCCAGAUCUGUGAGAGAUGCAAACAUAGUAUUACAUGCUCUACUGAAGUUCAAAGUGCAGCGCUGAGUAUUAAAGGCUUACAUUGAAGAUCUGCACAGGGACUCUGGCUUCUCCAGACUCCGUUACUACUUCAGCUGAAUGGUCUUGGGUGUAAAUGAGUGGUCCUACAGUUAAAUUUGGCAAGUAAAUGUAGUAAGGAAAUAAAAUGAAGAACAGAUUUGAGCUCACCUUCUUAUACUGUUUCAUGACUUUGUGAUGAGGCCUUGUUUUGGGAUGAAAAGAAGUAGAUAUAGUCAAAAUCACCUCUGCUGGUAAAAUUGGGUUUUAAGACUGUGUAACAGUAGUAAUGGAUCUUAUAAAAAAGAUCAGCCUGUGGUCAUUGCAUGUUUCAGAAGAUAAUAUAUAUGGUGUUGAUAAUAUUUAUGUGUUGGUUGGCCCGAAAGAUCCAGUAGUCCUUUGUGAUAAAUGUUUUGAAGAUCCACAUUUUCAUAAUAUAUAUGAGUGU